UACGAAGGGGGCUAGCGUUGUUCGGAUUUACUGGGCGUAAAGCGCACGUAGGCGGAUUGUUAAGUCAGGGGUGAAAUCCUGGAGCUCAACUCCAGAACUGCCUUUGAUACUGGCAAUCUAGAGUCCGGAAGAGGUGAGUGGAACUCCUAGUGUAGAGGUGGAAUUCGUAGAUAUUAAGAAGAACACCAGUGGCGAAGGCGGCUCACUGGUCCGGUACUGACGCUGAGGUGCGAAAGCGUGGGGAGCAAACAGG
rnacentral:rRNA from 1 species